rnacentral:misc_RNA from 1 species
UUUUAGCCCAGAAAGAAGUGAAAAGCCCGGACUACAAAAAAAUAAUUUUUAUUAUCCUGAAAGAGCGACUAAAAGAAGCUCCUUUCAGGAUUUAGAAAAAUAUUUUUUUUAGGGAGGACUUGAAACGGAGUGCUGGAUCUAGC